rnacentral:rRNA from 1 species
UAGAGUUUGGAUCAUGGCUCAGGACGAACGCUGGCGGCGUGCCUAAUACAUGCAAGUCGAACGCUUCUUUCCUCCCGAGUGCUUGCACUCAAUUGGAAAGAGGAGUGGCGGACGGGUGAGUAACACGUGGGUAACCUACCCAUCAGAGGGGGAUAACACUUGGAAACAGGUGCUAAUACCGCAUAACAGUUUAUGCCGCAUGGCAUAAGAGUGAAAGGCGCUUUCGGGUGUCGCUGAUGGAUGGACCCGCGGUGCAUUAGCUAGUUGGUGAGGUAACGGCUCACCAAGGCCACGAUGCAUAGCCGACCUGAGAGGGUGAUCGGCCACACUGGGACUGAGACACGGCCCAGACUCCUACGGGAGGCAGCAGUAGGGAAUCUUCGGCAAUGGACGAAAGUCUGACCGAGCAACGCCGCGUGAGUGAAGAAAGGUUUUCGGAUCGUAAAAACUCUGUUGUUAGAGAAGAACAAGGACGUUAGUAACUGAAUCGUCCCCCCGAGCGG